ACACAUAUGGCAAAAUUUGCUUUCUUAACACCAGGUGAGUGGAUUCAAAAGGAGGGUGUUAAACUGUGUUUUGUAUAAGGUUUAAAACGUUUUAAAAGCCCUAACCCAUUAUCUUUAGGCUCCUGCAGAUCUGUUUUGUGGCCCGAGUAGAUGUAGUGGAAUGACACCUCAAGCAUCCCCAGAAGGAUGAGGGCUGAAAUGUCAAGCUUUUCCAGGAACUGUUCACAGUAAAGUUACCAGGCAUUUCUAAACAAUUUGGUUUUUCAAGAGAGUUGGGCUUGUUCUUUCCUUGGGGCCUUUAUGAUGCUAAUAGCAGUGGCUGGCACACAGAACAGGGUAGCUGUGAAUUCAGUGGCACCUUGAAUCUGACAAGGAGGAGAGCCUUCUGGCCAUUCUUUGCCCACCCUUUCUCCCAUCUGUCUUUGGAAAUCAGAGAACAUUUUAUUAGGAGCAUUAUACAUGGUAGCAGUUAGAAGUCUGAUUCCAAUUCUGGAAAGCAGGGAAGUAGAGGGCUGGUAUUUCCAAGGCACCACCGGUGCUGUCAGUCUUAAAUGUUCUGCCCAGUGGAACCAAGACCCUGACCUUCACAAUGUCCCUUAACUAAAUCUCAACAGCUUGUAUGCUCAUGGUGGAGGUGGAAGUAUCUGGAUGGGCGGAACAAAAUCCUUCAACCUUUCCAAACAGACAGAUGUCGCUUUUCUGCCCUUCCCUGCAGUACACCUGUCUGCCCUGGGAAGUGCAUUUCUCAGCUGCAGCCCCCACCAGACCAAAAGCUUUAGGCAGAUCUUGGGGCUGAGGAUGCGGGAGAGCCGGGCUUAAGGAGCAGCCAGGGGUGCCUGGGUGUCUGAGCCUCUCUCCAGCACCGGACUAGGAGGGGGUGGUGGGUCCGAGGUUUGGAGGGCCGACCUCCUGCAGGCUGGCGGCAGCCAACGCUGGUGGGAUCUCGCAAAGACACACCCCCAGGGACUGGUGUCGCAGCCCCUCAGCCCCUCUCCCGGGUAGCCAGCAGCUCCAGGACGGCCGCUGGCCAUAGGAGAAAGUAAACAACACUCCAAGUGUCCGGGAACAAAGGCAAGUUGUCUUUCCACGGUGUCAGAGCCGUGUGCCUCUUGUGAAGAAUAAGAGCUAUUAUUACUCGUUUGUCUUAUCCUUUUCUUUCUUUCUUUUUUUUUUUUCCAAACCAAGUUUCCUUCUAAGGGAAAUAAACACCAAAGGUAGGAUUCCAAGGAAAUGACUCACGGCGGCUGGCAGGGCUCUGGCGAGGCUGGCCCGGGCCCCGCGCUCCAGCCCGCAGCGAUGUCCGCCCAGCCUUCCUCCCUCGCGGGCCGAACCCACUGGGAGCUGCGGGGCUGCCCUGCGCGUCCAAGGGACCCAGCGGCGGGGACGCCACCCUAGUCCCGCGGUCGCCUCUCCCGCGGCUUCUGCGGCCGCAGCUGGGCACUCGAGAAAGUUGCUAGGGCCGAAGAGACAGGAGGGGAGGAAGGGAGGAGAGAGGCGGAGGCGUGGACCAGGCGGGCAGCAGCCUCAGCCCGCCGGGGAGGCGCGCCCCUGACAUCCACAAUCUCUCCCUCCCCACCUGCCAAGCACCGCGGCGUCCAGACCAGGGGGCAUCCUUUCUACUGACCCCCGUCCCUUAGGGUGAGGGACAAAGUGGCCACCAAGGACCCUGAGUCUGCCAGAGCUGCUCUCCCCAACCGCCCCUGGAGUCAGCUCUGUGUGCACGGGUGGCAGCCGAGCAGCCCGAGAGGCGGCAGCGGUUCCCGCCCUGGAGAAGCCGCCGCGGCGCACGCCGACCCUGGAAAAGCCCGCGCCGCCUCCGCGCUCAGCUGUGCCCCGGCCCCAGCGCCGCGCCCGCCCCGCGCCGGCCGCCUCAAGUCCACUCGGUGACCCCGGCGCUGCCCUCGCGCCGGGGGGACGCUCCAAAGGCCCCGUGGGUGCCAGUCCGCCCGUACAGCAGCACCGGGGGCCGUCGCCCUCCACCCGCCCUGGCCGUCGCCCCCGCGGCCCGCGCGCAGCUCGGCUCUUACCGCGGGGUCAGCGGGGAGGCGGCGGCCGCAGCGGCGGAGGUGCCGCUGGUCCGCUCUGGGCGCGGCGCCAGCCCGGCCCGGGUGCACAGGAGCGCGGGUCCCGGCCCGGCCGCCCGCUCGGCGGUGGCCGCUGGUGCGCGGCGGGCGAGGGUCCCGACCGGUCCCGUCGCCGCGACUGGGGCGCUGCGCCGCCGUCGCUGCAGAAGGUUAUGGUAAUGAGCGGCUCUGUCUAGCGAGGAGCGUGUGAAACCCGUCAAUCCUGUUUGCCAUUUCCCCGUGGAUUUCCGAGGAGAGGUUCUGCAGGAUGCCCCCAGGAAGACUUUCUUCUCCUUUGCCACAGCAAAAGAAGAUGAGAACCAGAUGUCUUUGCAGGACCAAGCAGUUAUUCUCCCCUCGCCGCCCGCCCCCGCCGGUUCUCCUCCUGAGCUGUGUCUGUAUGAAAAAGCAACCUUGGUCCUGCUGCAACUUGAAUUGGCAACUCUGUCUGGGUGGGGAACCUCCAGAGAAAACCUCCAGGAAGUAAAAAGUAAUAAAGAAGGUUGUCCUCGUUCAAGAGAAUGCAAUUUAGGCCCCAGGAUCAGAGUAUUUUGCAAAUAGUACUUCCCCUAGAUUGGGCUCAACUGAGUUUGUUUUUUUAAAACAUUAAUUCAUACCUUCUGUCUAGGGACCGCUCCACAGUCGAGAUGGGUCAUUUCAGGUGUAAUGAAGGCAGAGGCUUGGAAGGCAUAGACCUAAUAAAGUCGGGAGAAGGCACCUGCACGAAAGUGUUGCAAAGACUAUAAUGUUUGUUUACUGCUACUAUGCCAGAUGUGCUAAAUAUAACACUCCUUUAAAACAGUGAUCCCCUGACUGUGAAAACACCAAACCUCUGGCUGUCUGGCUCCCUAGGAAUCCAGGAGAUGCACAGACUGAACGUCAGGGCGGGAAGGAACAAGAUGGAGGCUGAGGAUAAGCAUGUGCAAAUUGAACUCUAUCUAAUUUGCAUGUUUAUUUCUUAGAAUUGUAAUUAAAUUUGUGUAAUAAAUGUUUUCCAUUUCAUUUGUACACUUAAAAUUUGGGUGACUGACGUGCAGUUAAAUGAAUUUCCUUUUUUUUAUAAAGCAAAUGCAGUUUAUUCAAUAAAGCAGCAAACAAAUAUUAAACAUAAUUAGAACU